rnacentral:rRNA from 1 species
UACGGGGGGGGCAAGCGUUGUUCGGAAUUACUGGGCGUAAAGGGCUCGUAGGUGGCCAACUAAGUCAGACGUGAAAUCCCUCGGCUUAACCGGGGAACUGCGUCUGAUACUGGAUGGCUUGAGUUUGGGAGAGGGAUGCGGAAUUCCAGGUGUAGCGGUGAAAUGCGUAGAUAUCUGGAGGAAGACCAGUGGCGAAGGCGGGUCUCUGGACAGUUCCUGACACUGAGACACGAAGGCCAGGGGAGCAAACGGG